AUAUGAUGAUGAGGAUAUUGAAUGCAUAGUUGCUCAAAUCCUUCCUAAUACUCAGAGAGUGUCUCUCUAUAAGUUUGUAGAAUCUCACAUAUUUCUUUCCUUAUGCU
rnacentral:sRNA from 1 species